AGAUUGAUUGGAACCAAUCCUGGCUCAAGCCUGCUCCGCACAGCCUUGGAUCCUAAUUUUCUGGGAGAGGAAGAUUCCCUUCUCUCAGGUCACACACUAGGAAGCCGCAUAAUCUGGAAUCCCAGGUGCCUUUAAAUGGUCACCUUCAGCCUUAACUCUCCCUCUAGGCUGAGGUCUUUUGCAAUGCAGGUCUUCACUUUUGCGUGGGGACUAAAGCAACAGCUAAGCACUGACUGUACUUGCGACACCGCAGGUAAUCAUCUGAGAGAGCACCACCUAGUGGCUGACACAGCAGCUCCAGACAUUGCCCUGACAGGAAGGAACUCAAGGCAAGAAGAAAAGGGUUGGACCCUUUCUCAUGAGGAGAAAGAAGAGGGGGUGUUGAGCGGAAUGGAGGAUGGGGACCCUGCUCGUCUGCCUUCUAGUGCUGCCCAGAGUCACAGGACAGACUGCAGACAACGUGAGGCCUGUGAGGACAUCCUGCCCUGUCCUAAGUACGUGGGCCAGUAUCGACCCACUGGGGCUGUGCAGAAAAGCUCCAUGCUGUGGAUCCCGCAUGUUCCAGGACUGCUUGGUGUUCUCGACCCCUCCUGACCAGCACACAUCACCCUCUUACAAUGAUGGUAUUCUCGUAAACCCAUUCUACAGCAAAAGAAGCUGAAGCACAGAGAAAGUGGGUAUGGUGACCCACCGCAGUCUCCUAGGAAACCAGACUCUCAGUGCUAAAACUAUGAAAGUCAUCAGCAAACUGGACAAGGUGGCUACCCUAGCCCCUAGUCUUCCUCCCACUGUCCUCAUCUUCUUCUUUCUUUUUUUAUUUUUAUGUUGUUUCUUUGACAUGCUCUUGUACCCCAGGCUGGCCUCAAAUUCACUAUAUAACUGUUUGUGGUGAAUUCCUGAUCCUCCAGCUUCCUGUAUGCUGGGAUCACAGGAGUGUACCACCAGGCACAGUUAUAUUCUUUUUUUUUCUUAAAAAUGUUUUUUUUUAAGGAUUUAUUUAUUUAUAGCUGGCAAGAUGGCUUAGCGGGUAAGAGCACUGACUGCUCUUCCAAAGGUCCUGAGUUCAAAUCCCAGCAACCACAUGGUGGCUCACAACCACCCGUAAUGAGAUCUGAUGCCCUCUUCUGGUGCACCUGAAGUCAUCUACUUAUGUAUAAUAAAUCUUUGGGCCAGAACAAGCUGGGACUGUGACCAGAAUGACUGGGCCAACGAGAGUGAGCAGAGGUCCUAAAAAAUUCAAUUCCCAACAACCACACGAAGGCUCACAACCAUCUGGACAGCUACAGUAUACUCACAUACAUAAAAUAAAUAAGUAAUUAAAAAGAGAAUUUAUUUAUGCUAUA